AGAGUUUGAACCUGGCUCAGGACGAACGCUGGCGGCGUGCCUAAUACAUGCAAGUCGAACGCUUUUCCUUUCACCGGAGCUUGCUCCACCGAAAGAAAAAGAGUGGCGAACGGGUGAGUAACACGUGGGUAACCUGCCCAUCAGAAGGGGAUAACACUUGGAAACAGGUGCUAAUACCGUAUAACACUAUUUUCCGCAUGGAAGAAAGUUGAAAGGCGCUUUUGCGUCACUGAUGGAUGGACCCGCGGUGCAUUAGCUAGUUGGUGAGGUAACGGCUCACCAAGGCAACGAUGCAUAGCCGACCUGAGAGGGUGAUCGGCCACACUGGGACUGAGACACGGCCCAGACUCCUACGGGAGGCAGCAGUAGGGAAUCUUCGGCAAUGGACGAAAGUCUGACCGAGCAACGCCGCGUGAGUGAAGAAGGUUUUCGGAU
rnacentral:rRNA from 1 species